UGGGGAAUUUUGGACAAUGGGGGAAACCCUGAUCCAGCCAUGCCGCGUGUCUGAAGAAGGCCUUCGGGUUGUAAAGGACUUUUGUCAGGGAAGAAAAGCCUGCCAUUAAUACUGGUGGGUGUUGACGGUACCUGAAGAAUAAGCACCGGCUAACUACGUGCCAGCAGCCGCGGUAAUACGUAGGGUGCAAGCGUUAAUCGGAAUUACUGGGCGUAAAGCGAGCGCAGACGGUUAUUUAAGUCAGAUGUGAAAUCCCCGAGCUCAACUUGGGACGUGCAUUUGAAACUGGAUAGCUAGAGUGUGUCAGAGGGAGGUAGAAUUCCACGUGUAGCAGUGAAAUGCGUAGAGAUGUGGAGGAAUACCGAUGGCGAAGGCAGCCUCCUGGGAUAACACUGACGUUCAUGCUCGGAAGCGUGGGUAGCAAACAGGAUUAGAUACCCUGGUAGUCCACGCCCUAAACGAUGACAAUUAGCUGUUGGGGUACUUGAUGCCUUAGUAGCGUAGCUAACGCGUGAAAUUGUCCGCCUGGGGAGUACGGUCGCAAGAUUA
rnacentral:rRNA from 1 species